AGAGUUUGAUUCCUGGCUCAGGAUGAACGCUGGCGGCGUGCCUAAUACAUGCAAGUCGAACGCACUGUGGUUCAACUGAUUUGAAGAGCUUGCUCUGAUAUGACGAUGAACAUUGCAGUGAGUGGCGAACGGGUGAGUAACACGUGGGAAACCUACCUCUUAGCGGGGGAUAACAUCUGGAAACAGAUGCUAAUACCGCAUAACAGUAGCAACCGCAUGGUUGCUACUUGAAAGAUGGUUCUGCUAUCACUAAGAGAUGGUCCCGCGGCGCAUUAGUUAGUUGGUGAGGUAAUGGCUCACCAAGACGAUGAUGCGUAGCCGAGUUGAGAGACUGAUCGGCCACAAUGGGGACUGAGACACGGCCCAUACUCCUACGGGAGGCAGCAGUAGGGAAUCUUCCACAAUGGACGAAAAGUCUGAUGGAGCAACGCCGCGUGUGUGAUGAAGGGUUUCGGCUCGUAAAACACUGUUGUAAGAGAAGAAUAGCAUCAAGAGUAACUGCUUUGGCGUGUGACGGUGUCUUACCAGAAAGGAACGGCUAAAUACGUGCCAGCAGCCCGCGGUAAUACGUAUGUUUCCAAGCGUUAUCCGGAUUUAUUGGGGCGUAAAGCGAGCGCAGACGGUUUUUUUAAGUCUCGAAGUGAAAGCCUACAGCUUACCUGUGGGAAGUGCUUUGGAAACUGGAUGGACUUGAGUGCAGUAAAAGGAGAGUGGAAUUUUCAUGUGUGUAGCGGUGGAAAUGCGUAGAUUAUAUAUGGGAGGAACAUCAGGUGGGCGAAGCCGGCUUCUUCUGGACUGUUAAACUGACGUUGAGGCUCUCGAAAAGUUGUGGGUAGCAAACAGGAUUAGAUACCCUGGUAGU
rnacentral:rRNA from 1 species